CUAAUUUCAUUGAUCUUUAUCAAUAAAAUAUUGUUACUCUGACAUUCAUUUUUAUAAGAAACUUUUAUGCGACACUAGAAAUCUGCUAGAAUCAUAAAUUGUUCAUGUUUUUGUUUUUGUUUUUGUUUUGUUUUUUCCAGAGGACAGUGGGUAGAAAGGUUUGGAUGGUGAGAACACUUCCUCCUGGAGGUUGAAUAAGCAGAUUGCCGGGAUCUUCGAGAGUUGAGUGGAGAGUCGGCUUUGGAAAGAGACGAGGCCCCUGCUUGUCUUCCCCUCAUCUCCUAUCUACUCCUCCACGUUGUUCCUCUAACUCUCCUGAGUUAACAGUCUGUUGCCUCAUGUAUCAUGUCCUUAUUUGUCUCUGUACCUCAAAGCACGGUAGUAGUCCAAGCAAAAGAUAUGGCAGGCUGGACCACGGUCACAGCAGGGCAGAUGGAGAGUAUGUUAGUAGAGAAGUUAAAGAUCCAAGGGAGCAGAUCCUGGUGCCUGGUGUUCCCCGUCUACAUACCCCACCAUGACAAGAAAGACCCUUUGCUAUCUGCCCCUACAUCCAUCUGCCUAUCACCACCUCCCACCUCCAGAGGAACUGUGAACUUCAGGCCCCUCCGUGCCCUGCAGAAUGCUGCUUGUUUUACGUUCACCUCCACGUGGCUCUUCUGGCCUGACCUGACUUCCUCCCCAACUUGCCUCCUUCAUUUCCCACAGCAAAUGGUGCCAUGCAUGACCUUUCCUAUAAUAGGAUGAAGCAUUUUUGCCCAGUUGUCCAAAAUGCUCUGGCAUAUAUCUCAGCUAUGAUAUAACUGGGUAAAAAGAAGAGUAUUGUUUCGCUGUUGGCACCAGAGUUCCAGUUAGGGAAGGAACCAUUUUUGUUUGGGAAAACACACUGAAAAGCUACAGCUAACAGAAAAUAAGGCCUUGAGAGAAAGCAGGAACAACACAGAGACAGAUUAAAAACCUGAGACCCGCAAAAAGCAGUAUGGAGCUGGGAGAGGAGAGAAGGGGGAGAGAUGGGGGGAUGGGCAGAAGAGAUCCAGAGAAUGUGGCAGAAAACAUAUGUCACCAGACGAAGCAGAGACUUUUACAAAAAGAAGGAUCUAAUGUUCAAUUUAAAUUCAUCUACCAUGUGGUCAGGAGAUGCAGUGCCCCCACGCUGUUACUCCUACCUACGUCCAGUGAAAGUUUCCUCUCUGUGACUUCAUCAGCUGAGUGGAACUUUUGGCGUGUGAAGGAGACAGAUGUGACCCAUCAUGUGACCAAGACGGAGAGAAAGGCACAGAGAUCAAAGAGAAAAAAGAACUCCGAAGAAACUAGAGGCAAUUAUCUGAUUGCGUUUAAGCAGCGACAGUCCCAAAGAGCCACUGCACGGAAGAACGAGCUUGGGUUUGUUGGUCCACCCUACUUAAGUGCUGACAAGUCGGCCUGUUUUGCAACGGAGAUACCAAAGCAAGGAGAGAGAAGACGCUGUUGCAAUUUCUCAACCAAGCAGAUAUCGAUGUGAUGAAGUCAAUUUGCCAUUAGUCAUAUUUUAACUGGCUGCACACAGAACCCGUGGGGUCCGGUGCAGAGUUCCUUAGGAGCCAUUUAUAAAAUGUUUAGCACCAUCAGCCGAAGUGAAGCCCAUAGAAUCUGAAAACAGCCUGAGUUCUAGUGCUGACUCCAACACUUGCUGGUUAUAUGAUAUUAGUUGCUUGCUAUCUGUCCUUCGGUUUUUUAUUGUGUAAAACCAAACUAUAUGUAAUAGCUCCUAACUCUUGAGUUUGUCGUUAGGAUUGAAUGAAUUAAUACAGAUGAAAUAUGUAGAUCCGUGCCUAGCACACAGCAAGCACUAUAUAAAUGUAAGCUGUGGUUCUGGUUACAAGAUUUUGUCAUGAGGAGAGAUUUAGAAAGAACAUUAUUUAGGAAAGAGAUAAGCAGGUGUUCUCGAUGAUCUAUUGGGCUAAAAAUUAAGGAUUUAAAGACAAUAUGAUGUAAUGGUACGGUGCAUACGAGGCACCCGGGAAACUAGAAGGGAGCUACUAUGUAUUUCUUGUCUACUUUAUUCUGGACCCUGGGCUAUGCACAUUAACCUCUGGCAACUUAUGCAAGCUUUCUAACAUCCCUAGAACUAGUUAUUAUUGUCUCCACCUUACGGAUGAAGGCAUGGAGGACUCACCUCUUAGUAAAUGGGCAGUCAUGACCAGACUCAGGGCUAUAGACUCUACCAUUGUGGUCUUGGCACUGGAGCAUGGCAGGUCCUCUGAUGGCGUGGAGGUUGGGGCUGCUGAGGCCAGGUGUGUGAAGCACAAGUCUUUAGACUCUGUUCUCAGGACCACUCUGCACUCAUGAAAAAAGUGGUGAGGACCUCAAAGAGCUUUGGUUAAUGUGGAUUAUAUCUAUCAAUGUGAUAUUAGAUAUCAAAGCAAAAAAAAAGUGUUGGGGGCACAUGGGUGGCUCGUUCAGUUAAGCAUCUGACUCUUGAUUUCUUUCAGGUCAUGAUCCCACUGUUCGUGGGAUUGAGCCCCAUGUCAGACUCUGUGCUGACAGUGCAGGGCCUGCUUGUGACUCUCUCUCCCCUCUCUCUCUGCUCCCCCCCUGCUGUGUGCAUGCUCUCUCUCUGUCUCUCUCAAAAUAAAUAAACUUUAAAAUUUUUAAGGAUAAGUUUU
rnacentral:lncRNA from 1 species